rnacentral:lncRNA from 1 species
UCCUGUCUUCUCAGAUAACUUGGAAGUCCACUGCUAACGCGUUGCCCCAUGUUGUCCUCGUCUUGUUAAACCUUCCAGCAGCAUUUGCUCGUUGACCACGUCUUCCCUCUGGAAAGCUCUUGACCCACCUGAGGCGCCUCUUGGAUGCAAACAAUGCAGAGGGAUGUCUGAAUAGAAACUUGCUUAUUUUCCAGUGAAGGUUGAUUGAAGGCAGAAUUGACAGGAGAGCACAACAUGCAUAGCUCUAAUAGAUAAUGCCAACCCAGGACCUCGAUGAAAGUUCAAAGCGUUCAACACAAGGGUGACACUGCUGAUUUUCACUGG